rnacentral:rRNA from 1 species
AGAGUUUGAUCCUGGCUCAGAUUGAACGCUGGCGGCAUGCUUUACACAUGCAAGUCGAACGGCAGCACGGGUGCUUGCACCUGGUGGCGAGUGGCGAACGGGUGAGUAAUGCGUCGGAACGUACCGAGUAAUGGGGGAUAACGCGGCGAAAGUCGCGCUAAUACCGCAUACGCCCUGAGGGGGAAAGCAGGGGAUCGCAAGACCUUGCGUUAUUCGAGCGGCCGACGUCUGAUUAGCUUGUUGGUGAGGUAAAGGCUCACCAAGGCGACGAUCAGUAGCGGGUCUGAGAGGAUGAUCCGCCACACUGGGACUGAGACACGGCCCAGACUCCUACGGGAGGCAGCAGUGGGGAAUUUUGGACAAUGGGGGCAACCCUGAUCCAGCCAUGCCGCGUGAGUGAAGAAGGCCUUCGGGUUGUAAAGCUCUUUCAGCUGGAGCGAAACGGUACGCUCUAACAUAGCGUGCUACUGACGGUACCAGCAGAAGAAGCACCGGCUAACUACGUGCCAGCAGCCGCGGUAAUACGUAGGGUGCGAGCGUUAAUCGGAAUUACUGGGCGUAAAGCGUGCGCAGGCGGAUUGUUAAGCAAGACGUGAAAUCCCCGGGCUUAACCUGGGAAUGGCGUUUUGAACUGGCAGUCUAGAGUGCGUCAGAGGGGGGUGGAAUUCCACGUGUAGCAGUGAAAUGCGUAGAGAUGUGGAGGAACACCGAUGGCGAAGGCAGCCCCCUGGGAUGACACUGACGCUCAUGUACGAAAGCGUGGGUAGCAAACAGGAUUAGAUACCCUGGUAGUCCACGCCCUAAACGAUGUCAACUAGUUGUUGGGGGAGUGAAAUCCCUUAGUAACGAAGCUAACGCGUGAAGUUGACCGCCUGGGGAGUACGGUCGCAAGAUU